rnacentral:rRNA from 1 species
GGGGAAUAUUGGGCAAUGGACGCAAGUCUGACCCAGCAACGCCGCGUGAAGGAAGAAGGCUUUCGGGUUGUAAACUUCUUUGACAGGGGAAGAGUAGAAGACGGUACCCUGAAAACAAGCCACGGCUAACUACGUGCCAGCAGCCGCGGUAAUACGUAGGUGGCAAGCGUUGUCCGGAUUUACUGGGUGUAAAGGGCGUGUAGCCGGGCUGACAAGUCAGAUGUGAAAUCCCAUGGCUCAACCAUGGGACUGCAUUUGAAACUGUUGGUCUUGAGUAUCGGAGAGGUCAUCGGAAUUCCUUGUGUAGCGGUGAAAUGCGUAGAUAUAAGGAAGAACACCAGUGGCGAAGGCGGAUGACUGGACGACAACUGACGGUGAGGCGCGAAAGCGUGGGGAGCGAAC